rnacentral:rRNA from 1 species
UUACACAUGCAAGUCGAACGGCAGCACGGAGCUUGCUCUGGUGGCGAGUGGCGAACGGGUGAGUAAUGCNUCGGAACGUAUCCUGUAAUGGGGGAUAACGCAGCGAAAGAUGUGCUAAUACCGCAUACGCCCUGAGGGGGAAAGCGGGGGAUCUUCGGACCUUGUGUUAGUGGAGCGGCCGACGUCUGAUUAGCUAGUUGGUAGGGUAAAGGCCUACCAAGGCGACGAUCAGUAGCUGGUCUGAGAGGAUGAUCAGCCACACUGGAACUGAGACACGGUCCAGACUCCUACGGGAGGCAGCAGUGGGGAAUUUUGGACAAUGGGGGAAACCCUGAUCCAGCCAUUCCGCGUGAGUGAAGAAGGCCUUCGGGUUGUAAAGCUCUUUCGGGAGGGAAGAAACGAUUAUGGUUAAUAACCAUGAUUAAUGACGGUACCUUCAGAAGAAGCACCGGCUAACUACGUGCCAGCAGCCGCGGUAAUACGUAGGGUGCGAGCGUUAAUCGGAAUUACUGGGCGUAAAGCGUGCGCAGGCGGUUUAUCAAGACUGAUGUGAAAGCCCCGGGCUUAACCUGGGAACUGCGUUGGAAACUGAUAAACUAGAGUACGGCAGAGGGGGGUAGAAUUCCACGUGUAGCAGUGAAAUGCGUAGAUAUGUGGAGGAAUACCGAUGGCGAAGGCAGCCCCCUGGGAUCGAUACUGACGCUCAUGCACGAAAGCGUGGGUAGCAAACAGGAUUAGAUACCCUGGUAGUCCACGCCCUAAACGAU